GAGUAAUGUCUGGGAAACUGCCUGAUGGAGGGGGAUAACUACUGGAAACGGUAGCUAAUACCGCAUAACGUCGCAAGACCAAAGUGGGGGACCUUCGGGCCUCAUGCCAUCAGAUGUGCCCAGAUGGGAUUAGCUGGUAGGUGGGGUAACGGCUCACCUAGGCGACGAUCCCUAGCUGGUCUGAGAGGAUGACCAGCCACACUGGAACUGAGACACGGUCCAGACUCCUACGGGAGGCAGCAGUGGGGAAUAUUGCACAAUGGGCGCAAGCCUGAUGCAGCCAUGCCGCGUGUGUGAAGAAGGCCUUCGGGUUGUAAAGCACUUUCAGCGGGGAGGAAGGCGGUGAGGUUAAUAACCUCAUCGAUUGACGUUACCCGCAGAAGAAGCACCGGCUAACUCCGUGCCAGCAGCCGCGGUAAUACGGAGGUGCAAGCGCUUAAUCGGAAUUACUGGGCGUAAAGCGCACGCAGGCGGCUUGUCAAGUCGGAUGUGAAAUCCCCGGGCUCAACCUGGGAACUGCAUUCGAAACUGGCAGGCUAGAGUCUUGUAGGGGGGGGUAGAAUUCCAGGUGUAGCGGUGAAAUGCGUAGAGAUCUGGAGGAAUACCGGUGGCGAAGGCGGCCCCCUGGACAAAGACUGACGCUCAGGUGCGAAAGCGUGGGGAGCAAACAGGAUUAGAUACCCUGGUAGUCCACGCUGUAAACGAUGUCGAUUUGGAGGUUGUGCCCUUGAGGCGUGGCUUCCGGAGCUAACGCGUUAAAUCGACCGCCUGGGGAGUACGGCCGCAAGGUUAAAACUCAAAUGAAUUGACGGGGGCCCGCACAAGCGGUGGAGCAUGUGGUUUAAUUCGAUGCAACGCGAAGAACCUUACCUGGUCUUGACAUCCACAGAACUUACCAGAGAUGCAUUGGUGCCUUCGGGAACUGUGAGACAGGUGCUGCAUGGCUGUCGUCAGCUCGUGUUGUGAAAUGUUGGGUUAAGUCCCGCAACGAGCGCAACCCUUAUCCUUUGUUGCCAGCGGUCCGGCCGGGAACUCAAAGGAGACUGCCAGUGAUAAACUGGAGGAAGGUGGGGAUGACGUCAAGUCAUCAUGGCCCUUACGACCAGGGCUACACACGUGCUACAAUGGCAUAUACAAAGAGAAGCGACCUCGCGAGAGCAAGCGGACCUCAUAAAGUAUGUCGUAGUCCGGAUUGGAGUCUGCAACUCGACUCCAUGAAGUCGGAAUCGCUAGUAAUCGUAGAUCAGAAUGCUACGGUGAAUACGUUCCCGGGCCUUGUCCACCCGCCCGUC
rnacentral:rRNA from 1 species